rnacentral:rRNA from 1 species
UACAGAGGGGGCAAGCGUUAUUCGGAAUUAUUGGGCGUAAAGGGCGCGUAGGCGGCUUGGCAAGUGGAUGGUGAAAUCCCUCGGCUUAACCGAGAACUGCCGUCCAAACUGCUUAGCUUGAGACCGGGAGAGGUGAGUGGAAUUCCCAGUGUAGCGGUGAAAUGCGUAGAUAUUGGGAGGAACACCAGUGGCGAAGGCGGCUCACUGGACCGGUACUGACGCUGAGGCGCGAAAGCGUGGGGAGCAAACGGGG